UACGUAGGCCCCGAGCGUUUUCCGGAUUUACUGGGUAUAAAGGGUGCGUAGGCGGCCUUGUGCGUCAGAGGUGAAAUAUCCGGGCUUAACCCGGAGGGUGCCUUUGAUACGGCAGGGCUUGAGUGCGAGAGAGGAUGAUGGAAUUCCUGGUGUAGCGGUGAAAUGCGUAGAUAUCAGGAGGAACACCGGUGGCGAAGGCGGUCAUCUGGCUCGUAACUGACGCUGAGGCACGAAAGCGCGGGGAUCAAACAGG
rnacentral:rRNA from 1 species